UUCCAGACUCCUACGGGAGGCAGCAGUGAGGAAUAUUGGUCAAUGGUCGGGAGACUGAACCAGCCAAGCCGCGUGAGGGAGGAAGGUACAGAGUAUCGUAAACCUCUUUUGUCAGGGAACAAAGACUGGGACGCGUCCCCGGAUGAGUGUACCUGAAGAAAAAGCAUCGGCUAACUCCGUGCCAGCAGCCGCGGUAAUACGGAGGAUGCGAGCGUUAUCCGGAUUUAUUGGGUUUAAAGGGUGCGCAGGCGGAGGUGCAAGUCAGCGGUCAAAUUGCGGGGCUCAACCCCGUACUGCCGUUGAAACUGCAUCCCUUGAGUGCGCGAGAAGUAUGCGGAAUGCGUGGUGUAGCGGUGAAAUGCAUAGAUAUCACGCAGAACUCCGAUUGCGAAGGCAGCAUGCCGGCUCCACACUGACGCUGAGGCACGAAAGCGUGGGUAUCGAACAGGAUUAGAUACCCGAGUA
rnacentral:rRNA from 1 species